rnacentral:lncRNA from 1 species
AUACAAACUCAUUUGGGAUUUAUAACAUGAAAAAUGGGAUUUUUGGGUGAUUAGAGUGAAAAACGCAGGUUUUGAGUUUUCCUGACAGGAGUCCCUCGCUAGGCCUUCGCUCAGCGAACUUGUGGCGAACAGCUCGCCAUAGCUCGCUGCAGCUCGGCACGAGCAGGUGUUCCACUGGUGUGGUUCGUUUUGGCUCGCUGAGCCUUCGCUCAGCGAACAGCUCGCUACUGCUCGCCAUGAGUCAGUAUUUCUCUAGUAGUGUUCGUUGAUGCUCGCUACAGUUCGCUAAGCGAACAGUCCUGAGACUGCAACUUUUGUUGAUGUUUGUAAGUGUAAUUAGACACUUGUAACAUGGGUUUAAGGUAUCCUAACAUGCAAUUAGGUGUUUAUAACCAUGAUUAAUUGUAUUGUGACGAAUUGUUGAUUAUAUUUGUGGAAUAUGAUUGUUUUAGAUUGUGUUAAUGAUGUUUGUUUAAAUGUCAAAAGAAAUAUAUUAAGAUGUUAAUUAACUUGAUAAAGAAGAAUAU